AACGAGCGCUGGCGGCAUGCCUAACACAUGCAAGUCGAACGAGACCUUCGGGUCUAGUGGCGCACGGGUGCGUAACGCGUGGGAACCUGCCCUUAGGUUCGGAAUAACUCCCCGAAAGGGGUGCUAAUACCGGAUAAUGUCUUCGGACCAAAGAUUUAUCGCCUUUGGAUGGGCCCGCGUUGGAUUAGCUAGUUGGUAGGGUAAAAGCCUACCAAGGCGACGAUCCAUAGCUGGUCUGAGAGGAUGAUCAGCCACACUGGGACUGAGACACGGCCCAGACUCCUACGGGAGGCAGCAGUGGGGAAUAUUGGACAAUGUGCGAAAGCCUGAUCCAGCAAUGCCGCGUGAGUGAUGAAGGCCUUAGGGUUGUAAAGCUCUUUUACCCGGGAUGAUAAUGACAGUACCGGGAGAAUAAGCUCCGGCUAACUCCGUG
rnacentral:rRNA from 1 species